rnacentral:rRNA from 1 species
AUUGAACGCUGGCGGCAGGCCUAACACAUGCAAGUCGAGCGGAUGAAGGGAGCUUGCUCCUGGAUUCAGCGGCGGACGGGUGAGUAAUGCCUAGGAAUCUGCCUGGUAGUUGGGGAUAACGUCCGGAAACGGGCGCUAAUACCGCAUACGUCCUGAGGGAGAAAGUGGGGGAUCUUCGGACCUCACGCUAUCAGAUGACCCUAGGUCGGAUUAGCUAGUUGGUGGGGUAAAGGCCUACCAAGGCGACGAUCCGUAACUGGCCUGAGAGGAUGAUCAGUCACACUGGAACUGAGACACGGUCCAGACUCCUACGGGAGGCAGCAGUGGGGAAUAUUGGACAAUGGGCGAAAGCCUGAUCCAGCCAUGCCGCGUGUGUGAAGAAGGUCUUCGGAUUGUAAAGCACUUUAAGUUGGGAGGAAGGGCAGUAAGUUAAUACCUUGCUGUUUUGACGUUACCAACAGAAUAAGCACCGGCUAACUUCGUG